GCGCUCGCUUCGGCAUCACAUAUACUAGAACAAAGGAUGCAGAGAAGAUUAGCAUGGACCCUGCAUGAGGAUGACACUCAAAAUUCAGUAAGGAAAGGUUUAUUU
ensembl:snRNA U6 U6 spliceosomal RNA